CGGGGGUUGGAUUCAUGAUGCUGUGGCCCCCGUCAGCGUUGAACUGGUGAUCACGGGGAUCUUCACACACCAGUAAGUAAAGCUGCGUCCGAGCUGAAAGUAGGCCGCCGGGGGUUUUCUCGCCACUGCCCCGGUGCUCCGAAUUUGAUAAGCCGGGCGCACUGCACGCUUUGAAGGGGUGAGCUGUUGUUGGACAGCUUAGAAAGUGCAGACGCCGA
rnacentral:ncRNA from 1 species